rnacentral:sRNA from 1 species
AGUGAAUUUCAUUUGAAGUGAAAAUCCUUUUCUUUUUUUCUUUAAAAAAGAAAAGAUUGUAACGGAAAGCGGGAGCAUUC